UUCAAGAAGCGGUUUCGGCAUACCCUUCGGAAGAGAUCAGAUCUGGGAUGGGACGAAGGAGGAAGAGGGUGAAGUGGAGGCUGUCGGUCCGCCCCGCCCCGCCCCUGGCCGAUUCCCUUGCUGGCGCCAGUAGGCCCCAACCGGACCCCAACCGCCGAUGGCCCACGUUUUGGAUCAUCUAGCUGUAGGGAUGGCGGCAACUUGAUCAGGUGCAUUCUCUCUUUCCCAAUCUUGAUGUGGAUCUGUUGUGUUUUCUUGGGUUCUUUAUGGUUCUGAGAUGUUAUCGGGGGUGUUCUUUAGUUGUGUUUUCGCCGCCUUCUUAAGGCCCCCAACGGUAGAUGGUCCACGUUUUGGAUCAUCAAGCUGUAGCGAGGGCGACUACUUAAUCAGGUGAGGUGCGUCCUCUCUUCCCAAUCUUGAUGUGGAUCUGGUUGUGUUUUCUCGAGUUCUUUAUGGUUGUUGGGGCUGUUCUUGAGUUCUUGUGUUUUCGCCGCCCUCUAAGGGCCCCCAACCGGAUCCCAACCAUAUGUAGCGAUGGCGGCUACUUGAUCAGGUGCAUUCUCUCUUCCCAAUCUUGUGUGGAUCUGGUUGUGUUUUCUUAGGUUCUUUAUGGUGCUGAGAUGUUAUUGAGGCUGUUAUCUAAGGAAGUGGAGGUUGCCAAGAAAUGCAUAAUUAAUUAUCAUUUGCUCUUGUUUACA